CCUUUACCAGCCGGCGACCGGCGCACGGGUGAGUAACACGUAUGCAACCUGCCUGCCACAGCCGGAUAAUCGGGAGAAAUCCCGUCUAAUACGGCAUAAUGCACCUAUGGGACAUCCUGUUGGUGCCAAAGGUUAAUUCCGGUGGCGGAUGGGCAUGCGUCGCAUUAGUUAGUUGGCGGUGUAACGGACCACCAAGACGACGAUGCGUAGGGGUUCUGAGAGGAAGGUCCCCCACACUGGUACUGAGACACGGACCAGACUCCUACGGGAGGCAGCAGUGAGGAAUAUUGGUCAAUGGGCGGGAGCCUGAACCAGCCAAGUCGCGUGAGGGAUGACGGCCCUAUGGGUUGUAAACCUCUUUUGCCGGGGAGCAAGUGCCGCACGUGUGCGGUUUGGAGAGUACCCGGAGAAAAAGCAUCGGCUAACUCCGUGCCAGCAGCCGCGGUAAUACGGAGGAUGCGAGCGUUAUCCGGAUUUAUUGGGUUUAAAGGGUGCGUAGGCGGACGCUUAAGUCAGCGGUAAAAUUGCGGGGCUCAACCUCGUCGAGCCGUUGAAACUGGGUGUCUUGAGUGGGCGAGAAGUACGCGGAAUGCGUGGUGUAGCGGUGAAAUGCAUAGAUAUCACGCAGAACUCCGAUUGCGAAGGCAGCGUACCGGCGCCCAACUGACGCUGAAGCACGAAGGCGUGNGUAUCGAACAGGAUUAGAUACCCUGGUAGUCCACGCAGUAAACGAUGANUGCUAGUUGUCCGGGGCGAUUGAGUUCUGGGUGACACAGCGAAAGCGUUAAGCAUUCAACCUGGGGAAUACGCCGGCAACGGUGAAACUCAAAGGAAUUGACGGGGG
rnacentral:rRNA from 1 species